UACGUAGGGUGCAAGCGUUGUCCGGAAUUAUUGGGCGUAAAGAGCUCGUAGGCGGUUUGUCGCGUCUGCUGUGAAAACUCGGGGCUUAACUCCGGGCCUGCAGUGGGUACGGGCAGACUAGAGUGCGGUAGGGGAGACUGGAAUUCCUGGUGUAGCGGUGAAAUGCGCAGAUAUCAGGAGGAACACCGGUGGCGAAGGCGGGUCUCUGGGCCGUAACUGACGCUGAGGAGCGAAAGCGUGGGGAGCGAACAGGAUUAGA
rnacentral:rRNA from 1 species